AUUUAUAUAGUUUAAGAAAAACCUUACAUUUUCAUUGUAAAAAUAAAAAUUUUUUUUAUAAAUA
rnacentral:tRNA from 1 species